rnacentral:rRNA from 1 species
AGAGUUUGAUCCUGGCUCAGAAUGAACGCUGGCGGCGUGCUUAACACAUGCAAGUCGAACGGUAACGGGAGGAAGCUUGCUUCUUUGCUGACGAGUGGCGCACGGGUGAGUAAUAUAUAGGUAACGUGCCCUUUGGAGGGGGAUAGCCACUGGAAACGGUGAUUAAUACCCCAUACUCCUUUCUAACAUAAGUUAGAUUGGGAAAUGGAUUCCGCCAAGGGAUCGGCCUAUAUCCUAUCAGCUAGUUGGUGAGGUAAGAGCUCACCAAGGCGAUGACGGGUAGCGGGUUUGAGAGGAUGAUCCGCCACACUGGUACUGAGACACGGACCAGACUCCUACGGGAGGCGGCAGUGAGGAAUAUUGCACAAUGGGGGCAACCCUGAUGCAGCAACGCCGCGUGGAGGAUGACGCAUUUCGGUGUGUAAACUCCUUUUAUAUGUCAAGAAAAUGACGGUAGCAUAUGAAUAAGCACCGGCUAACUCCGUGCCAGCAGCCGCGGUAAUACGGAGGGUGCAAGCGUUAUUCGGAAUCACUGGGCGUAAAGGACGCGUAGGCGGGCUAGAAAGUCAGGUGUGAAAGCCUACAGCUUAACUGUAGAACUGCACUUGAAACUCCUAGUCUAGAGUAUGGGAGGGGCAGAUGGAAUUAGUGGUGUAGGGGUAAAAUCCGUAGAUAUCACUAGGAAUACCGAAGGCGAAGGCGAUCUGCUGGAACAUUACUGACGCUAAGGCGUGAAAGCGUGGGGAGCAAACAGGAUUAGAUACCCUGGUAGUCCACGCCCUAAACGAUGUUCACUAGUCGUCGGGAUGCUAGUCAUCUCGGUGAUGCACUUAACAGAUUAAGUGAACCGCCUGGGGAGUACGGUCGCAAGAUUAAAACUCAAAGGAAUAGACGGGGACCCGCACAAGUGGUGGAGCAUGUGGUUUAAUUCGAAGAUACGCGAAGAACCUUACCUGGCCUUGACAUUGAUGGAACCUGCUAGAGAUAGCGGGGUGCCCUUCGGGGAGCCUGAAAACAGGUGCUGCACGGCUGUCGUCAGCUCGUGUCGUGAGAUGUUGGGUUAAGUCCCGCAACGAGCGCAACCCUCGUCCUUAGUUGCUAGCAGUUCGGCUGAGCACUCUAAGGAGACCGCCUUCGCAAGGAGGAGGAAGGUGAGGACGACGUCAAGUCAUCAUGGCCCUUAUGGCCAGGGCUACA